AAUACAAGGCCACCUUUUCGUUUCUCUUUCCACUGAACAGAGCAGUUAAGAACUUCAAUUCCUCGCUAGGUUUUUCUCUAUUUUGAACCCAACUUUUAACAAUUUACAAUACAAUUAUUAUGGGUUUACACAAAUUACACGUCAUUUGCUUAAUGAUAAGCUCUAGAUAAUUAAUUUUUCAGAGAUGACAAGUAUUCUAGCGUGUUAUCCUCGGUUCUCGGGAGUUGGGGAGAAUCAUCUUCUUCACAGGGGAAAGAGAAAUUGCAGAAUUCAAAUUUUUGGGUAUUCAAAUCUUGAUUAUCCCUGUAAAGAAGAAAUGUUUUUUUCCCAAUUUUCAUUGCCCUGUAACCAGUGGUCCCAGUAAUAGGAAAUUCUGGGCUAUUUUUUCUGGUAAACUGGAGAAUGAUAUGGACCCAGAUAACUCCGAAGAUGAUGCUGACCUGGGUGACUCUGAAGAGAACGGAAUUGGACCGGUGAGUUGAGUUUCACCUCGGGUUAAUUUCACUAAUGGCCACUCAACUUUAAUUCGAACUUUAACAAGCAUUUCAGUCAAACAAUCCAUUUAGUUUGGCGUCUUGGUGGUCUAACUAAAACAUUUUGUUAAGUACAGUGGGUGACACUAGGUGCAAUGGUCAGUAGCCAUUAGUGAAAUUGACUUGUUUUGCCUCUUUUCUUGAGGCUUGCUUUUUUGUUAAUUGUGUAGUUAAAUGGUAUGUUUACUUUGUUAGGAUAGAAUUGGAGUGUUAAAACAUGAUUUAUUUAUCUGGUUUUUAUGAAUCCUAGUUCCAGGAUGUCUCCAAAUGUAGCCUUGGAAAGAAGUCAAAAGUAUUGACUGAGACAGGUCUCACCAAUUUUGUACUAACCAAAAUUCUAUAUUGUCAUGUUCUGCUUAAUAUAUGCAUAUGAAUAGCUUUACCAUUUGAUGGCUAGUUAAGUUUUUGGGCAAGUGUUUUGCCAAAUGAUCAUUAUGUUUUUCUGUUAAAAGUUCAUAAAGCCUUUUGGUUGUGUAGAAUAAUGGAACCAGUUUGAGUUUUGUUGUCUGCAGGGUUAGUGGUUCCAAGCAUAUUGCCAAGGGCAUGAUUUUCCGAUGUUAAUCCAUAUGAUAAUUUUCUUAUUAAUAUCUAAGUUCUGCAUUGUAUGGCAUGCUAAGCAUUUAUCUUGAACCUUUGUUGCUAUAGCCUGAGGAUCGAGACUCUCCACUCGUAUGUUUAGUGCAAUGAUAAGUAGUCUAUGCGAUUGUAUAGUGACAGAGCGCUACAUAAUGUCUGGUGAAUAGUGAAAUUCUGAGGGAAAAGCUUGAAAGAAUUGUUGGGACAGAUGACUCAAGCUUCAGCGGGAUAGACCUGGCAACUCUUAUACGGAAUAAAUUUGGGAGAUCAUAUGAUGUUCAAUUAAUUAAGAAGGAGUUCAUGGGUAGAAAUCUCCUUGCUUUGAAUGUUAUGUGGAAGUACAUGGAGCAGAGAUCCUUUCCGCUGAUUGAAGAAGAGUAUAUUUUAAGGCUUAGUUACGUGGCAAAUACAUUGAAAUGUUGGGGAGUUGUCUCUCAUGUCCGAAAUAGUUUGGAAAAGUUGAAAGAGAAAGAGCGACCGCGGAUAGGAAAAGUAAACACGCAAUAAACAUUUUCAAAGACAUGGAUGAGUCUGGAGGCCGGGCAAACGAAUGAUCACAAGUAAAGCCAUAAAUUUUAUUUUCUGAUUUUCGGUAUUUUUGAAAUUGUAUAUCUUUAUAUUGAAGGUACCCUUUUAAAAGUGUCAUAAUGUGGCAAGUGUGAGAAAAUUGAAAUAGAGAAACAUUAUAAGACAUGCUAUUGUUUGUAUGUUUUGUCUAUUUCAAGAAUUAUUGUUAUAUUAUUAUGUGAAAUUCUAGUACGAGCCAAGCUUGAGCUCUCACUA